rnacentral:rRNA from 1 species
GUGUCAGCCGCCGCGGUAAUACGGAGGGUGCAAGCGUUGUUCGGAAUUAUUGGGCGUAAAGCGCGUGUAGGUGGUCGGGUAAGUCAGAUGUGAAAGCCCUCGGCUUAACUGGGGAAGUGCAUUUGAGACUGCUCGGCUGGAGUUCGGAAGAGGAGAGUGGAAUUCCCGGUGUAGAGGUGAAAUUCGUAGAUAUCGGGAGGAACACCGGUGGCGAAGGCGGCUCUCUGGUCCGAUACUGACGCUGAGACGCGAAAGCGUGGGGAGCAAACAGGAUUAGAUACCCCCGUAGUCC